rnacentral:rRNA from 1 species
GACGAACGCUGGCGGCGUGCUUAACACAUGCAAGUCGAACGAUGAACCCGGAGCUUGCUCUGGGGGAUUAGUGGCGAACGGGUGAGUAACACGUGAGUAACCUGCCCUGGACUCUGGGAUAAGCGUUGGAAACGACGUCUAAUACCGGAUAGGACCUUGGAUCGCAUGAUCUGGGGUGGAAAGUUUUUUCGGUCUGGGAUGGACUCGCGGCCUAUCAGCUUGUUAGUGAGGUAAUGGCUCACCAAGGCGUCGACGGGUAGCCGGCCUGAGAGGGUGACCGGCCACACUGGGACUGAGACACGGCCCAGACUCCUACGGGAGGCAGCAGUGGGGAAUAUUGCACAAUGGGCGAAAGCCUGAUGCAGCAACGCCGCGUGCGGGAUGACGGCCUUCGGGUUGUAAACCGCUUUUAGUAGGGAAGAAGGGCUUCGGCUUGACGGUACCUGCAGAAAAAGGACCGGCUAACUACGUG